AUUCAUUUUAGUUUUCUAUGAGAUUGUAUUGCACAAUGUAGAAAAAAACUUGGUGUAGUUACUAAAAUACUAGGUCUUUGAUGGAAUUUAGAUUUUCUCAUAAUAUG